UCAUCACGCUAGGGGUGCCAUUGUGGCUGAGAAAGAGACUUAAGUCUCUUAACCCUUUGAACCUGAUGCGGUUAGUACCGCCGGAGGGAAGCGGAAAAUAUUGUUU
rnacentral:ncRNA from 21 species